AGAAAUAUUCUAGGAGAGCUUAUCUGCGAGCUGCAGCUGGCUCCGAAGGUGCAGCCCGGCUGCCCUCUGUACUGCCCACACCCUAAAUUACUCAUCAUACAUGCGUCAGCUCAUGCCGCAUCAUAACUUUUCUUAAAAAAAUUUACGCGAGACUGACAAUAUUGAGA